UCCCUGAGACCCUAGGUUGUGA
rnacentral:miRNA from 1 species